GUGCCAGCAGCCGCGGUAAGACGUAGGGCGCGAGCGUUGUCCGGAUUUAUUGGGCGUAAAGAGCUCGUAGGCGGCUUGUCGCGUCGUCCGUGAAAACCUGCAGCUCAACUGCAGGCUUGCGGUCGAUACGGGCAGGCUAGAGUUCGGUAGGGGAGACUGGAAUUCCUGGUGUAGCGGUGAAAUGCGCAGAUAUCAGGAGGAACACCGGUGGCGAAGGCGGGUCUCUGGGCCGAUACUGACGCUGAGGAGCGAAAGCGUGGGGAGCGAACAGGAUUAGAUACCCCGGUAGUCC
rnacentral:rRNA from 1 species